AAGUGAUGUAUAUUCUGGUUCUUGAAGGAGGUUCCUAGAGAAUUCCAAUUCCAGAUUUGUUGAAUCCGAAUCUGUGUUCAGGUCUGUUUCCAAUUCCAGACUACAAGCCCUCUGCUAGAGAGAAAAAAAAGAUAACGCCCACGGUAGUUUACAUCUCCCACACACAUCUCCCCCCACAGGUAUGGUUCAGCGUCCGUUUUGUAGUUGCAUUAAUUUAGGCAAGUUUUGCUUGAUUUUCUAUGGGGCAACGCUCUGCGCCGCCCGAUCGGCCAGCUGAACGCGGGCCGCGUCGUUAGAUCCCAUGCAACAAUUUUUUUUCGAUGCAAUAAAUUUUGUUCAUGAUGCAACAAUUUUUUCAACGGUUGCAACAAAAAAGUUGUAGC
rnacentral:lncRNA from 1 species